GGAGGAAUAUUGGUCAAUGGGGCGAGAGCCUGAACCAGCCAAGUCGCGUGAGGGAGGAAGGUCCUACGGAUUGUAAACCUCUUUUGCCGGGGAGCAAAGGGGCCAUUGAUGGCAGGAUGAGCGUACCCGGAGAAAAAGCAUCGGCUAACUCCGUGCCAGCAGCCGCGGUAAUACGGAGGAUGCGAGCGUUAUCCGGAUUUAUUGGGUUUAAAGGGUGCGCAGGCGGACUCGUCAAGUCAGCGGUAAAAAUUCGGGGCUCAACCCCGUCCUGCCGUUGAAACUGCGAGACUGGAGUGCGACAGAGGAAGGCGGAAUGCGAGGUGUAGCGGUGAAAUGCUUAGAUAUCACGAGGAACCCCGAUUGCGAAGGCAGCUUGCGGGAGCGCAACUGACGCUGAAGCUCGAAGGUGCGGGUAUCGAACAGGAUUAGAUACCCUGGUAGU
rnacentral:rRNA from 1 species